AUGUCACAUUCUGUGGCACCUCUACAAGCGGCAGCUGAAAGCACAGGUCUUGUGUUUGAGUGCUGGGCAGGUUGUAAUGAAGCUGGGUGUGUAGACUGCAGUUUGCUCUCCAGGGAGCAUGAGCCUGAGAUGGUUGUUACUAGCUCAGACCAGCUCAAUACUGCUUUUUUACUUGCCUUGAGUUGUUUACCUCUUCUUUUUUCCACGUCCUUAAAGAAAACACUCUUCUUCUCUUUUUGUUUCAGCUGCAACACCUCUAAAGAGCUAAAGUUGGAGACCACAGGCUCGGGUACCUCAGGAAUUCUUUUGCUGUGGUUCUGCAGAUCCAGUAGUGCUGGAUUAUUGGCACGUUUCAGAUGGUUGCUCUGUAGUUGUGCAUAUGAACUUGCGAAGCUGAAUAAGCUGUUGUCGAGUCUGAGACGCCGUUACGCUGAACUGACCAGAUCUUCAGGAUGAGCCUCUGUGUGUUCUGUGUUCUGUGUUCUGUUGGAUAAAAUGCAUGAUGGAUUACUAAUUUGAAGUAUUCAUUUAAAAGAAAAAGUAAUGUCAAGGGUACAGCUUUAAGAAUUCAGAUGAUGUUACGAUUCAGUGUUAUGAAUAUAUAUAUAUAUAUAGAUAGAUAGAUAGAUAGAUAUAGAUAUAUAGAUAUAUAUAUAUAUUCCCCCAUUAUGAAAUCUGUGUGGGGGGUUACUUUAUGAUCCAAUGAUCCACAUGAGGAAAAGAGCUUUAUAAAGUGAAUUAAAAUGUUUUAUCGCACAUAGAAAUGGAUCUAUAAAGUGAUAAGGGUUUCUGAAGUAACUAUACAAGAUUCAAGAUUUUUAUUUGUCACAUACAUGGUUAUAUGGACCAGCAGUAAAAUGUAAGUGCAAAUACGUCCAAAGUCUCAAAUAUUUUUCAGUUUCAAAUAUCUGCUUCAAAAACCUGUGAAUUUUUAUCAUUAGCAUCCCAUGUGCAUUAUCAUAUUUUUGCUCUAUUGAGCAACAGCAAACAAAAAUAUGUUUGCUAUUGUAACAAUUAAUUUAUGAAAACGUUAUUUCUCUAAACACAUUCAAAACAUCCAGUUUAAUGUUUAAAAAUGUUGUUUUUUUUCCUUCUUUCUUGGUUAUGCAAACAUCAUGGGAACGUUACUUUUUACUUAACGUUCUGAAACAAGUAGUAAAAUUUAAAAAAAUGUUAGAGAAAUAUCCAACUAAAAAAUGUUUGAAAACAGAAAAUGUUUCAUAAUGUUUUUGUGUUAAUGUUUUGAGAACAUUAUUAAAGACCAGAUAACUUUUGAAAAAAUAUUAAUGUCACUGGAGUUUGUUUCAUAAUUCACAAAUUUUAUAACACUAAUACUGUUAUUUUCCUGUUUAUCACUUUGAAACAGUCUGUAUUGUAAAUAAAUACAUUGUUGUACUAUAGAAAUAAAUGUAU
ensembl:lncRNA